CAUUUUGUGAUUUGGCUGAAUGUUUUUUGGGAGAUGGGGACACAGAAGGUGAUUGAUUUGAAGGUGAAUAUAUUGUGAUAUGAGAUGGGUAUGAUGAGGUUGAGUAUUCUGAGCUUUUGUUUUGAUGGUGAUAUUUGGCUAUCUCUCAGAUGCAGUAGGAGUUGGUAAUUCCUUUCCGAUUCAGUUUCCUUUCUCACUUGAAUUAUGGAAUCUUUUUAUGGUCUCAGAUGUUGUGCUCCGAUUUUCAGUUUUCCAGCUUUUUAUUUUUAUCGAAGUUGAAGUUGAAGUUGAAGUUUCAGAUUGAAGAAUUUUCUUUUUCUUUUUGGACUGGUGAUUGUGGCAUGAUAAUUUUGGAUUAUGGAUUGGUUCUCUGGCUCUAGCGUGCAGUUUAUAAAUGAAUUCGGUGAAUUAGUUUCUG
rnacentral:lncRNA from 1 species